rnacentral:rRNA from 1 species
ACAAGCAGCGAGCAUGUGGUUUAAUUCGAAGCAACGCGAAGAACCUUACCAGAUCUUGACAUCCAAUUGACCAUCUUUUAUUCGAGAUUUUGCCUUCGGGUACAAUUGAGACAGGUGGUGCAUGGUUGUCGUCAGCUCGUGUCGUGAGAUGUUGGGUUAAGUCCCGCAACGAGCGCAACCCUUGUGUUUAGUUGCAAACAGGUCAAGCUGUGCACUCUAGACAGACUGCCGUGGACAACACGGAGGAAGGUGGGGAUGACGUCAAAUCAUCAUGCCCCUUAUGAUCUGGGCUACACACGUGCUACAAUGGCCGGUACAACGGGCAGCGAAGGAGCGAUCCGGAGCGAAUCCUAAAAAGCCGGUCCCAGUUCGGAUUGCAGGCUGAAACUCGCCUACAUGAAGUUGGAGUUGCUAGUAAUCGCGAAUCAGAAUGUCGCGGUGAAUGCGUUCCCGGGUCUU